rnacentral:ncRNA from 2 species
AAGCUGAACUAGGGGUGCCUCGUGCUGAGAGACGAAUUGUUCGUCAACCCUUACUACCCGAUCUAGGUCAUACUAGCGUGGGGAAGUGGAGCUUUAUGUUU